rnacentral:rRNA from 1 species
GACGAACGCUGGCGGCGUGCUUAACACAUGCAAGUCGAACGGUAAGGCCCCUUCGGGGGUACACGAGUGGCGAACGGGUGAGUAACGCGUGAGCAACCUGCCCUUGACUCUGGAAUAACAGUUGGAAACAGCUGCUAAUACUGGAUAUUCAUCGUCUCCUUCCUGGGGGGUGGUGGAAAGCUCCGGCGGUCAGGGAUGGGCUCGCGGCCUAUCAGCUUGUUGGUGAGGUAAUGGCUCACCAAGGCUUCGACGGGUAGCCGGCCUGAGAGGGCGACCGGCCACACUGGGACUGAGAUACGGCCCAGACUCCUACGGGAGGCAGCAGUGGGGAAUAUUGCACAAUGGGCGCAAGCCUGAUGCAGCAACGCCGCGUGCGGGAUGACGGCCUUCGGGUUGUAAACCGCUUUCAGUAGGGACGAAGGGUGACUGACGGUACCUACAGAAGAAGGACCGGCUAACUACGUG